CCUACGGGUGGCAGCAGUAGGGAAUAUUGGUCAAUGGGUGAGAGCCUGAACCAGCCAUGCCGCGUGCAGGAAGACGGCCUUCUGGGUUGUAAACUGCUUUUACCGGGGGAUAAAAUUCUCUUGCGAGGGAAAUUGAAGGUACCCGGUGAAUAAGCCACGGCUAACUACGUGCCAGCAGCCGCGGUAAUACGUAGGUGGCAAGCGUUGUCCGGAUUUAUUGGGUUUAAAGGGUGCGUAGGCGGUCUUGUAAGUCAGUUCUGAAAUAUCCCGGCUUAACCGGGAGGGUGGGAUUGAUACUGCAGGACUUGAGUUGAGUCGAGGUAGGCGGAAUUGACGGUGUAGCGGUGAAAUGCUUAGAUAUCGUCAAGAACACCGAUAGUGUAGACAGCUUACUAGACUCAAACUGACGCUGAGGCACGAAAGUGUGGGGAUCAAACAGG
rnacentral:rRNA from 1 species